ensembl:lncRNA
GAUUCACGAUGAUUGUAGCAGAUGAGGCAUGAGGCCUGGGGCUGAGAUUGCAGUUGGUGAAGACUUUUUCCAGGGACGCAUGCCCAGCCUCCCCAGAGGACCUGGGGAGGACCCCAGCCUUCUGGGCUGCCCAACUCCCAGCAGUGUGGUUGGUGGCGAGGAGCACCCCAUUAUUGAUGGGUGGUACUUCCCAUCUGCUUGGACCAGCUGGAAGCAGAUAUGGUGUUCAGGAUGCUGAAGCCGCAUCCCAGGCAGAGAGCCUUGAAAAGGGGGUUCUAGCACACUGCAGUUUGUUUUGCAUUCAUUAUUUUUAAUAUCUGGGAAAGUAAUUUAAAAAAUUAAUAAUCGCUUUAAUUGCACUACUUUUUAAAAGUAAUAAUAUAAGGAAGGGAAAGUAACCAACACCACCAUGAAACCUAUCCCACCUCUUCCUGAGAUAAUCCCUGUUAUCAGUUUGGGGAUUUAUUCAAACCCAGUGGUGCACCGUUUGACCGCUCAGAAAGGAAUAAAAGCCGUGAAUUGUAGGUUUGUUGAUUUCUGUGGGGAAAUCCUGCCAUGGCCAUUUUCAGGCUACCAAAGGUUUAAAAACCAUUUUGCAAAAAUUUUGAAUAGUUGACGAUUGACUUCCCCAAGGCCCUGCAUUCUCACAAGUGAUCACUUUCUUCUUUCCUUUGGGAAAUUGGAAAUUUGUCCUGCACACUGAUCUGCAUAUCAUUUGUAUUUCCAGUAUCACAGACCUCUGUCCAGAGCAGCACCUGCAGUGCAGACUUACUUAAAUCCUUUCCUUCAUGGAGUGGAGUUUCCAUGAAGGAACUCUUCCUGAACCAGAGAUCGAGCUCGAGUCUCCUGCAUUGGCAGGUAGAUUCUUUACCACUGAGCCACUGGAGAAGCCCAGCAUGCCCUGAUAUUCCCCUACUUCCUGAUCAUCAAGGUGGCAAAGUGCCUCCUCUCCAGGAUUCCUCAGAACCGAGGACUAUCAUCUGUGAUCAUGCUUACCAUACCUUAUAGUUUAUUGUAUGAUGCUUACCAGUUUCCUAUUGAGAAGCAAAGAAGCCUGGUAGGCAGAAGAGCUCCCUAUUCUAACCCUGGGUGUUAUGCCUGUGAGUGUGGUACUUCACAUGGCACAAGUGACUUUGCACAUGUAAUUAAUGUUAGUAAUCAAUGGGCCAGUACAGCGGGGCUAUCCUGUAUUGUGCAGAGAACUAUCUCUGAAUGGAAUCACAGAGAUACGUCCAAAGAAGAGUCAGAGAGACUCCAAGUGUGAGAAGGCUUUGCUGUACUGCUGCUGACUUACAAGUGGGGUACAUGUAUGCCAAGUCACUUCAGUUGUGUCUGACUCUUUGUGACCCCCAUGGACUGUAGCCUCCCAGGUUCCUCUGUCAGUGGGAUUCUCCAGGCAAGAGUACUGGAGUGGGUUGCCAUUUCCUGCUCCAGGGAAUCUAUCCAACCCACUGAUGGAACCUGCAUCUUUUACGUGUCCUGCACUGGCAGGCGUGUUCUUUACCACUAGCGGCACCUGGAAAGCACUGGAAGUAGGGACCCGCCUGCAAAGAGAGUGGUGGCCUCUAGUUGCUAGGAGUGGCCUCCAGUCAACUUCCAGCAAAGUAAUGGGGCCUUAGCCCUACAAACUGAAUUUGACCAAAAACUUUAUUUUGGGGAAGUAUAGUGGACUUACAGUACAAUAUUAGUGUCAGGC